AGGAUAAACGCUGGCGGCGUGCCUAACACAUGCAAGUCGAACGUCUCUUCUUUCGGGAAGAGGAGUGGCGGACGGGUGAGGAACACGUGGGAACCUGCCCUUCAGUGAGGAAUACCGGCGAGAAAUCGCCGACAAGACCGCAUAGCCCUCUCUGGUGAGAGCCAGAGAAGGAAAGCCUCGCAAGAGGCGCUGGAGGAGGGGCCUGCGUCCGAUUAGCUAGUUGGUGGGGUAAGAGCCUACCAAGGCGUCGAUCGGUAGCUGGUCUGAGAGGACGAUCAGCCACACUGGGAUUGAGAACGGCCCAGACUCCUACGGGGGGCAGCAGUGAGGAAUUUUCGGCAAUGGGGGAAACCCUGACCGAGCAACGCCGCGUGCAGGAAGACGGCCUUCGGUUGUAAACUGCUUUCUUUGGGACGAGCAAGGACGGUACCAGAGGAAUCAGCCCGGCUCACUACGUGCCAGCAGCCGC
rnacentral:rRNA from 1 species